CGCUCGUGGCCGCGUCCCGGCCAGCCACCGCUGGCCCGCCCGCGGCUGGGAGCGGAUGCUGCUGGCUCCCCAUCCAGCCGCUCUCCCCGUCCGUGGCCUCUGUUUGCUGCCUCUGUUUAGUACCUCUGUUUGCUGAAUUGGCCAGGUCGAUUGAUGUGGUUCCAAGUUUAGGAACCAUGGUACAAAUUCCGAUUAACUCAGUAGCCAGUAAAUUCCAAAGUGGUUUCAUACUGAUAUUCUUCAUAAAGUCUAUUGAUGUUGACAUACUUUUCUCUUUUCAUUACAUGGUUUGCAGGAGAGAAUUUUGUUCACAGUGAUAGGACAUGGUGAUUUUGAUGACUCACCUGAUCUUAUUCUGACAGAAGAUUUCAGUGGUGUGAAUAAUGCUGGUAUGGGAGACUUAACACGAGUUUCCUUCGUAAGGAGGUCAAAAUGGAGUGAGUGGUUUUUGGAUACAUGGUGGAACCAGACUUCAUUUAUACAGUUUGGUUCCACAAAAAGUGGAGAUAAUGCAGCACUCAAGCAUCUAAUUGAUCACCUAUCAGCUGAAGAAAUGCAAGCGCAUGUUCGAAUAGCAAAAAUGCAGUGCCUCUUCAAUUCCUACUCUUGGGUCCUCACAUGGAAGUCAGGUUGGCCAAUUAACUGAUUGUCUCUGUUUGCAACUGGUAGAUGGACAGGGCUUCGAUUCUUGGAGACGCAAUUGAGUACCUGAAGGUGUAACUUCCCAGAAGUCAUCGGAGGAAGACAAGGCAGAGGCAAGUUUUGAGCCAUCAAAAUCAAUGCUUCUCCUGGGAAUCCAUAGGAGGAAAAUGAGGAGAGUGUCAAGCCAUCGGAUAAUGUUGUUACUCUAGAGAAGCUAUUGGAAGAAGAUGGGGCAAGCAUGGAGCCAUCGGAAGACAAUGAUGCUCUUGAGGAACCAAACGAAGAAGAAAAGGCGAUUCACAAGCUGUCUGAGGACAAAGUAGCCCUUGUUCAACGUUACGACUGCAAAUUGUGGCUAGUUAUUUAUAUGUAGUUAAAUUUUGCAUGAUUCAUCACUGCAGACAUGAUAAGGCAGGCUGACAAUCUGAUGUAUAUAGUGUAGGGCUCAAAUUGUACAAUGUAUGGAUGUAUUACAAAAGAGAUAUUAUUCUAAAAUAAAUAUGAUUGUUCUUCAACA